UACGAAGGGGGCUAGCGUUGCUCGGAAUUACUGGGCGUAAAGGGCGCGUAGGCGGCACUGUUAGUCAGGCGUGAAAGUCCUGGGCUCAACCUGGGAACUGCGCUUGAUACGGCAGAGCUAGAGGAUGGAAGAGGCUCGCGGAAUUCCCAGUGUAGAGGUGAAAUGCGUAGAUAUCUGGAGGAACACCGGUGGCGAAGGCGGCAUCCUGGACCGGCAUUGACGCUGAGGCGCGAAAGCCAGGGGAGCAAAGCGGG
rnacentral:rRNA from 1 species